GGAAAACAUUUUUUUGUCAAGUGGAAGUGGCCAGAAAUGGAUCGCUGUGAAAUACGCGAGAAUGCUAUUGCCAAUUAGUAAGAACAUAUUAUUUGGUUCUGAAACGAAGCAUUCCAACGACCGCAACCUUCCCGGUAGGAAAGGAGUAGUAGAAGUCGGAAAGACGGAAUUUCCCGAGAUAAAUCCACGGAGAUGUAACCAGAUGAAUAUCAACAUAAAACCUGCCUGAAUUCAAAAACAAAACGGCAGUUACAGGAGGACGA